GGCACUCUGGUAUCACGGUACCUUUGUGUC
rnacentral:misc_RNA from 1 species